GAUUCCAUUUCCAUUUUUCUAAAAUCCAAAAUCGCCUCCCGAUCUGCACCGCAAAGCUCGUCGAUACUCCGUCCUUUGCCAAAUCCUAACCAAGGUGGUCGAUUUUUGCUGUUGGCGCUUGGAGGAAGUCGAAAACCAAUUAGGCACACCAAAUCAAGAAAUUUUUCUCCCGCUACCUCAGACGAUUAACUUUCAUCUGUGGUCACGCCUGUCGACCCUUCCUUCGCCGCCGACGAGGAGCGCCGGUCACCUCCCCCAAUUCCCGGUGAGAAGGUGAAAUAAUGCUUGAAAACUGAUAUGGGAGUCCAGAACUGGCCUUAAAGAGUGAAAAAAUAGCUUCAGAAGCGAAAAAAAGUCACCGGCGUGAAAGUCAACGGUCAACGCCAGAAAGUCAACGCGCGAAGUCAAAGUCAACCGAGCGCGGAAGACAAGCGGCGGCCGCGCAGAAGGCAAGCGACGGCUGCACGAAAGUGCGCAAGCGCGGAAGGCGAGCGACGGCUGCAUAGGAGUGCGCAAGCGACGGCCGCACGGAAGACAAACGACGGCUGACACGCAAGGCAAGCGACGGUUGACACGGGAAGCGAUGACAGCUGCACGGAAACUUUGGCAUUGAAGUGAGCAAAGCGAUGGCGGCUGACACGGAAGGCAAGCGGCGGCUGACACGGAAAUAUGAGCGGAGCGGAAAGCCAUACGUGGAAGUGAGCGAAGCGGCGGCUGCAUUAAUUCUCGCUGCAUUUAUUGCCGCUGGUCAGCGGUGCAUUUACUGCGCCACCACAAUAAUUCCUGCACAGAAUUCUACUGCAUUUAUGUCUCUUGCACCCUCAGCUCCUGCAUUUACUACACUCUCCCAGCUCCCUUAGUUAUAUUAGUAGCUAUUUUUAGAGUUAGUUAUAUUAAUAGUUAUUUUUAGAAGUAGUUAUUUAUGGUUAUUUUUAGAGGUAGUUACUAGUUAUUUUUAGAAAUAGUUAUUUAUGGGCGGUCUUCUAGAAGCUUUUUCCCCUAUAAAUAUCCCCUCUAAUUGUACCAUACAUACAUACAUACACCAUAUAUACACAAUAAUAUACACUCCAUUUUCUCCAUUUCUUUUCUCCUAUAUUUUUAUCUAGUUUAAUAAUACGGGAUUUUCGGUUUUGUGUCGCGAGCAAACCGAUUUUCUCCCCCUUUUUCUUUUAAUUCCUGCAUAGUAUUUUAGCUAGUAAAAUUCCUAUCAUAUUUCUCCACCUCACGUUUACCCAAAAAUUCCAUGUUCGAUUUGAAUUGUUCAAGUUGGAUAUCGACAAGGUUGCGGAAGGGUGAUAGAAGAAUCGACUAUUUCAGCCCUUUUAUGCGCCAAAAGCGGUUUCCGGGUAGUUCAACGUAGCUAAGUACGCGGGAGCCUUGUCGACCUACUUAGUUGCUGUUCUGAAUUCGAUUCCGAUUAAAGAGAGGUAAUAAAAGGGGUAGAGCCACUACGGAACGGUUGGAAGAAUAAUUCAUGGGGCAUAGGCGGGGUCUAUUGGGUCACAGAGAUUCCUAAUGACAGUAGGGUUUCUUGCUUAUAAUGUUCUUCGUCGGGUGUCGCUGAAGCCUCGUUGUAAAUCCCCGAAGGUCAAGUACCAACCGAGUCGAGAAUCGGCUUAAGCGAGCAAAUGCGAUCACGUUCAUUCCUCCGAGCCACCCCGCAAUUAUACAUAUAUUUUUCGCUAUCACGCCAUCGUCAUCCCGCUCAUUUCAUCCAUGGAAAUCUAGCCAUUAAGGAACGCAAAAGUCAGACACAAACGCCUCGUUUCAUCAUUUUCGAGAUACGUAUAUUUUAUCGCUUUUUAAUUAGAUUUAAUUUUUGCAAUUUAUCUUUUCAGUUUCUUCGAU